rnacentral:rRNA from 1 species
GUCCACGCUGUAAACGAUGAAUACUAGGUGUGGGGACUAACCCCUCCCGUGCCGCAGUUAACACAAUAAGUAUUCCACCUGGGGAGUACGGCCGCAAGGUUGAAACUCAAAGGAAUUGACGGGGCCCGCACAAGCAGUGGAUUAUGUGGUUUAAUUCGAAGCAACGCGAAGAACCUUACCAGGGCUUGACAUCCAACUAACGAAGCAGAGAUGCAUUAGGUGCCCUUCGGGGAAAGUUGAGACAGGUGGUGCAUGGUUGUCGU